rnacentral:rRNA from 1 species
ACCCAGACUCCUACGGGAGGCAGCAGUGAGGAAUAUUGGUCAAUGGUCGGGAGACUGAACCAGCCAUGCCGCGUGCAGGAAGACGGCUCUAUGAGUUGUAAACUGCUUUUGUACAAGGGUAAACCUGAAUACGUGUAUUCAGCUGAAAGUGCUGUACGAAUAAGGAUCGGCUAACUCCGUGCCAGCAGCCGCGGUAAUACGGAGGAUGCGAGCGUUAUCCGGAUUUAUUGGGUUUAAAGGGUGCGUAGGCGGACUGUUAAGGCGGCGGUAAAAGCCCGGGGCUCAACCCCGGCGAGCCGUUGAAACUGGCUGUCUUGAGAUGUCGAGAGGUAUGCGGAAUGCGCAGUGUAGCGGUGAAAUGCUUAGAUAUUGCGCAGAACUCCGAUUGCGAAGGCAGCAUACCGGCGGCGAUCUGACGCUGAGGCACGAAAGCGUGGGUAUCGAACAGGAUUAGAUACCCUGGUAA